rnacentral:rRNA from 1 species
GAUGAACGCUGGCGGCGUGCCUAAUACAUGCAAGUCGAGCGAACAGACGAGGAGCUUUCUCCUCUGACGUUAGCGGCGGACGGGUGAGUAACACGUGGAUAACCUACCUAUAAGACUGGGAUAACUUCGGGAAACCGGAGCUAAUACCGGCUAAAUUAUUCAACCGCAAGGUUCAAUAGUUAAAGACGGUUUUCCUUUCACUUAUACCUGGAUCCGCUCCGCAUUAGCUAGUUGGUAAGGUAACGGCUUACCAAGGCAACGAUGCGUAGCCGACCUGAGAGAUGGAUCGGCAACACGGGAACUAAGACACGGUCCGAACUCCAACGGAGGGCAGCGGUAGGAAUUCUGCAGAAAGGGGGGAAAGCUGAAGGAGGCAACGCGGGUGGAGUGAGGAAGGUCUUCGGAUCGUAAAGCUCUGUAAUUAGGGAAAAAGAAGUGUAUAAGUAACUAUGCACGAUUGACGUGUACCGAAGCAGAAAGCCAGGGCAAACUACGU